GAUGAACGCUGGCGGCGUGCUUAACACAUGCAAGUCGAACGGUGAAAGAGAGCUUGCUCUCUGGAUCAGUGGCGAACGGGUGAGUAACACGUGAGCAAUCUGCCCCUGACUCUGGGAUAAGCGCUGGAAACGGCGUCUAAUACUGGAUACGAGCUGCGAAGGCAUCUUCAGCAGCUGGAAAGAACUUCGGUCAGGGAUGAGCUCGCGGCCUAUCAGCUUGUUGGUGAGGUAAUGGCUCACCAAGGCGUCGACGGGUAGCCGGCAUGAGAGGGGGACCAACCACACUGGGACGGAGACACGGCCCGGACUCCUACGGGAGGCAGCAGGUGGGAAUAUUGCACAAUGGGCGAAAGCCUGAUGCAGCAACGCCGCGUGAGGGACGACGACCUUCGGGUUGUAAACCUCUUUUAGCAGGGAAGAAGCGAAAGUGACGGUACCUGCAGAAAAAGCACCGGCUAACUACGUGCCAGCAGCCGCGGUAAAAC
rnacentral:rRNA from 1 species